rnacentral:lncRNA from 1 species
CAAGUGAUUACAUAUUGAUUACAUUGAUUAUUUAACAAUUACACAAAAGUCUUUUUCAGCAGAAUAAUUUCUACAGGAAUAAUAUAUAUAGUUUUACAAUAUGACAUAGAUGGACAAACUACCGAUGACUAAACUGUAUCUAGAAUAUCUUCGUUGAUAUGUUGCGUUUAAAUUCUGGAUAGUUUGAUGGGUUUCCAAAUAAAAACAAAUACAAAUUGAGGGUCAUACUUUUGUCCUCGAAGUUGUUGACAUAUAAGGCCAGAGAUAUGAUUCGCACCAAAAUGAAUGCAUGUAUAUUGGGUCAAUUUGAUUUCUAUGAAAUUGUUUCUCGAUAAUGUUAUGGACCACUUAAUGAAAGGAUAGGAACAUAUUUAGAUUAUUAAUUACUACCCUUUGUAAAAACACAAAAAAAAGUACAUUUCUGACAUAGGGGACUUUAUCCGAAAUGUUAAAAAAAAAACUAUACAUUUGAUAAUAAUGUAAUCUACUUAUGACAGAUAUAUAUCAAUUUAAGAUUUGAGGACUUCAAACAAAGCUUUAAAAAAAAGCUCUGAAUAGACAUGAAGCAAUUAAAUAAACUAUCGACGGACUACUGGUUGAAAGAGUGUCUGAAACAGAUUUCCUGUUUGAAAAGCAGAUAAACAAACUGCUAAAGUUUACUUAAGUAUGCAAUAAUCAUUCCAUAAAAUUUCUAAACCUUAAAAUAUUCACAGGUGACCAGUUCAAAAAUACUGCUUUAAGACCUGGAAUGCUUUACAAAGAAACCCAAACAAUUCUAAUAUCUUCAUACAAUAUUUAAAAAAAAACAACAUUGAAAAACUAAACGCCAAUGGUCUCGAACGCUGAUUAUACCCCUGAUGUAAAACCAAUCUCUUUAUUUUUAUAUCAAAUACUUUAACUUUAGAAAAUAUGUCAACUUUUACUACCUGAGUUAUUUACUGCUAAUUGAUUGAAUGAUUGUAUGAUGAUUGAUUGAUUGAUUGAUUAAUUGAUUGGUUGAUUGUAGUACAGUUGUUACAUCGUUCAUUAACUUGCAGAGGAAGUGUCA